rnacentral:tRNA from 1 species
AAUAGCCCUGUGGUGUAUACCAUAUUGAAUUGCAAAUUCAAAGAAGCAGCUUCAAUUCUGCCGGGGCUU